rnacentral:rRNA from 1 species
GAUGAACGCUAGCGGCAGGCCUAAUACAUGCAAGUCGGACGGGAUUGAGGAGCUUGCUUCUCAUGAGAGUGGCGCACGGGUGCGUAACACGUAUGUAACCUACCUUGUUCAGGGGGAUAGCCUCUCGAAAGAGAGAUUAAGACCGCAUAACGUAGUGAUGUGGCAUCAUAUUACUACCAAAUAUUUAUAGGAACAAGAUGGGCAUGCGGAACAUUAGCUAGUUGGUAAGGUAACGGCUUACCAAGGCUACGAUGUUUAGGGGAUCUGAGAGGAUUACCCCCCACACUGGUACUGAGACACGGACCAGACUCCUACGGGAGGCAGCAGUAAGGAAUAUUGGUCAAUGGACGGAAGUCUGAACCAGCCAUGCCGCGUGCAGGAAGACGGCCCUACGGGUUGUAAACUGCUUUUAUACGGGAAUAAACCUACUUACGUGUAAGUAGCUGAAUGUACUGUAAGAAUAAGGAUCGGCUAACUCCGUGCCAGCCGCCGCCGUAACAC